GAAGAGGUGUUCCCCAAAGCGCCCCCUAGAGGACGCAGUUCGAAGUUCCCUUGAAAAGGGAACUGAUUUUCUUACAUCAGAUGAAAUACAGUUGAAACAGAACAGAAAAACUGUUGCUGUGUCAUGAUGAAGUAAAGUGGAUGUUGAGGUGUAGUGAUGAGGUAAAGAGAAUGUUAAGGCAUAGUGAUGAGGUAAAGUGAUUGUUGAUGUGGCGUGGGGAGGUUAAGAGAAUGUUGAGGUGUAGUGAUGAGGUAAAGCGGAUGUUGAGGUGUCGUGAUGAGUUAAAGAGAAUGUUAAAGGGUAGUGAUGAGGUAAAGUGAUUUGUUGAGGUGGCAUGGUGAGGUAAAGAGAACGUUGCAGUGUAGUGAUGAGGAAAAGUGAUUGUUGAGAUGUCGUGAUGAGGUAAAGUGAUUGUUGAGGCAUCAUGUGAUUGCGUAGUGAUGAGGUAAAGUGAUUGUUGAGGUGGAAUGAUGAGGUAAAGAGAACGUUGAAGUGUAGUGAUGUGGUAAAGUGAUUUGUUGAGGCGGCAUGAUGAGGUAAAGAGAACAUUGAGGUGUAGAGAUGAGGUAAAUCGAUUGUUGAGGCGUCGUGAUGAGGUAAAGAGAAUGUUGCGGUGUAGUGAUGAGGUAAAGUGAUUAUUGAGGUGUCGUGAUGAGGUGAAUGAUUGUUGAGGCAUCAUGAUGAGGUAAAGCGAUUGUUGAGACGUUGUGAUGAGGUAAAGGGGAUGUUGAAGUGCCGUGAAGAGGUAAGUGUUUGUUGAGGCGUUGUGAUGAGGUAAAAGGGACGUUGAAGUGUCUUGAAGAGGUAAAGUAAUUGUUGAGGUGGCAUGAUGAGGUAAAGAGUACGUUAGGCGUAGUGAUGAGGUA